GUCUCCGGUCCAGCAGGAGGAGGAAGAACCGGAUCAACCGCCAGGCAACCAUGUUAAGCAACUGGCUGAUGCUAUUUCCAAGGUUUCAACUGAAUCUGAUUCUGUUGAUAUUAGCCUGGUUCAUCAUCAUCGCCUGUGCUCAAUGCGGAUGUGACUGUCACCGGGUUCGCAGGAGAAGGUAUUCCCUUUUUCUGGAGACGCCUUCGUUAGUGAAUGAAGGUGUCUGUCCUGAUACCGUAUAUGAGGGAUCGGAUCCGGUUGGACUAGUCAACGCUACCAAAUUGGUCUCUGACCGCCGGAGAAAUGGG
rnacentral:lncRNA from 1 species